AAGCAAAUAUUAACAUACAUAAAGGAAGGUGACAUACCUAAAGGAACGUAAAGGGCUUUAACAUACCAAUUACAUCAAUGGACAGAUCAUCCAGACAGAAAAUCAAUCAGGAAACACUGGCCUUAAAUGACACGUUAAUCAUCAACAUCACAAAAAGACAACCUACAGAAUGGGAGAAAAUACUUCGAUAUGCUAUGACUAAUAAGGGGUUAAUAUUCAAAAUAUACAACAUCAACAUCAAAAAAACCCAAACCACCUGAUUAAAAAAUGGGCAAAAGGGGAGUUCCCUUGUGGUGCAAUGGGUUAAGAUCCAUUGUUGUCACUGCAGUGGCUCACAUCACUGCUAUGGUGAGUGUUCAAUCCCUAGCCUGGGAACUUCCACAUGCUGUGGGCAUGUCCAAAAAAAGGGGGGGGGGCAGAAGACCCGAGUGGACAUUUCUCCAAAAAGAACAUACAGAUGGCCAACGGGUACAUGAAGACACCCAACAUCACUAAUCAUCAGACAAAUGCACAUCAAAACUACAAUGAGAUACUACCUCACACCUGUCAGAAUGGGUAUAAUCAAAAAGACCACAAAUAACAAUUGGUAAUGAGGAUGUGGAGAAAAGGGAAUCCUUGUACAUGGAUGGUGGGCAUGUAUACUGGUGCAGCCACCAUGGAAAAUGGUGUGGGGAUUCCUUGAACAACUAAAAACAGAACUAUCAUGUGAUUCAGCCAUUUCACUCUUAGGUAUAUAUCUAAAGAAAACAAACACUAAUUUGAAAAGAUAUCUGCAACUUAAUGUUCACAGCAGCAUUACUUACAAUAGCCACGAUGUGGAAGCAAUCUAAGCAUCCAUCAACAGAUGAAUGGAUAAAGACGACGGAUGUGUGUGUACACUUGUCAGCCAUCAAAAAGAAUGAAAUUCUGACAUUUCCAUCAAUGUGUGUGGACCUGGAGAACAUCAUGCUUAGUGAAACAAGUCAUGGAUAAAUACAAAUACUCUAUGAAAACACUUAUACAUGGAAUAAAAAAUAUACUAGUGAAUAUAACAAAAAAGAAAGAGACUCACGGAUACAGAGAACAAACUAGUGGUUACCAUGGGGUGAGGGAAGGUGGGAAGGGCAAGGCAAAGGUCGGGGAUUAAGAGGUACAAAGUUCUAUGUAUGAAAGAAAGAAGCUAGGGAGUUCCCAUUGUGGCUCAGUGGUAACAAAUCUGAUUAGGAUCCUGACAUGAGGAUGCGGGUUUGAUCCCUGGCCUUGCCCAGUGGGUUAAAGAUCUAGCGUGACUGGCUGUGGCAUUGGCCAGCAGCCACAGCUCAGAUUCAACCCCUAGCCUGGGAACUUCCAUAUGCUGUGGGUGUAGCCCUAAAAAGCAAAAUAAAUAAAUAUUUACUAUGUACCACGCAGGGAAUAUAACCAACAUUUUAUAGUAACGACAAAUGGAGGAUAAUCUAUACAAAUUCUGAAUCACUAUGUUAUACAUCUGAAAUGAAGCUACUAAUACUUUAAAUCAACUGUAUCUCAAUAAAAAGCGAAAAAACAAAAAAAACAAAAAAACCUCCACCCCAGACCCCCUGAAUAAAGAUUCCUCCUGGUCUAAAAGAUCCUGUCACUUGAGCUUCCCUCCGUGAUGUUAUAUCCUACAGCAAAGCUUAUCUGAGGAACAGUUCUGAUGUCAUGAUGUUUAUUUCUAAAAAAAAAGUCUGUCCUCUGCUUCGCUUUCAAAUUUUGUACUUUAGCUGUAUCACUUACUGUUAUUUUUUUGUUUGUUUUUUGUUUUUAGGGCUGCACCCCGUCAUAUGGAGGUUCCCAGGCUAGGGGUCAAAUUGGAGCUACAGCUGCCGGCCUACACCACAGCCAGACACAGUGUCCGAUCUGAGCCACAUCUGCGACCUACACCACAGUUCACGGCCACGCCGGAUCCUUAAUCCACUGAGCAGGGCCAGGGAUCGAGCCUGCAAGCUCAUGCUCCCUAGAUUCGUUUCUGCUGCACCAUGAUGGGAACUCCUAAAAAAAUUUUUUUAAUCUGAGCCUAAAUCUGCCUACUUUAUGGUACAAACUGUGGGCACUACAAAAGAAAAUGUGAAGCAGAGGGCGCAAUGCCCGGUGUAGCAGGAGAUAAAUGUUCUCACCCCACCACCAACACGUCCCACACACACAGCACACGCAGACACACAUGCCCUCCCCUUGCCAGUGUCUCCUCUGAGGGGCCCUGGGUUGUUUUCUCCAUUCCAACCAAACAAACCUGCUUAUGGUAAAGUUCUGGAAGGCUCAUUGGUCCCUCCUCUGAGCCUUUGCUUGGGCCACUUACUCCAGUUUUGGGAAUGAGCUACGGGGACACUCUGUGUUCCCCUUUGCAGCACAACCAUGACCUUGGGAACAACUGCACUAAAAUAACCCCAUUGGGUUUCCUCUCACUGCAAUACGAAAAGCUGUUUAUGAAUCUUCUUAUAUUGUUAAUUCCUAAAGCUCUCUCCUCUCUUCUAAUAAUUUUUACAUUCCUUGAGGAUAGGGACCCUGUCUUUCCUUUCACUGAAAAGUCCCUCAAAGGAUCCAGAUACGUUUUUCCUGCUGUGACAGUUGAACUGUACUACCCUACAGCACAAGAAAAACCAACGCAUAUCUUGGAGUUCCCCUCGUGGCUUAGCGGAAACAAAUCCGACUAGGAACCAUGAGGUUGCCGGUUCAAUCCCUGGCCUUGCUCAUGGUUAAGGAUCUGGCGUUGCUGUGGCUGCGGUGUAGGACGGCGUCUACAGAUCCAAUUGGACCCCUAGCCUGGGAACCUUCAUAUGCCACAGGUGCAGCCCCAAAAAAGCAAAAAGAGAAAGAAAGAGAGAGAGAGAGAGAGAAAGAAAGAAAGAAAAGACAGACAGACAGACAAAAGCAUAUCUUGUGUUGUGCGGGGGAGAGUUAUGAAAUAGCAUGUUUUUAGUGGUACCUAUUUUUAGCCUAAUACCCAAGAACCAUAGUACUGAUUUUUUUUUAAUUGUGGCAAAAUACACAGAAAUAAAACUUACCAUGUUGACUGUGUCUAAGCAUACAGUUCAGUGGCAUUAGGCACAGGCUCAAUGCUGGACACCAGCCAUGCACAGAACUCUCCACCUUGAAAAACUGAAACUCUGUAUCUACUAAACAGUAACUCCUCACACCCCUUCCCCAGCCCCUGGCAACCACUGUGCUACCUGCUAUGAAUCUGACUCCUCCAGGGACCUCGUGGGAGGGGAAUCAUACAGCACUUGUCCUUUGGUGACUGGCUUAUUUCACUUGGCAUAACGUCCUCAAGGUUCAUCCAAGUUGCAGCAUGUCCGAAUUUCCUUCCUUUUAAAGGCUGCAUAUUAUUAGUUUUUGAAAGGGAAAGAACAACUCUACAUACCUAUUUUAACAGAUUGCUUUAUUUAUUAAUAUGUCAUUCUAAACAUUACAUAAAUACAACCUAUAUAACUAGAGUAUCAAACAUUGUAAGAAGUUCAGGAAUACAUUUUAGGGCUUUUUAAGAGACGUGAAUACUUUGGCUUUAUUAUGUCAGAUAAAAAAAUUCAAAGAAGAGUUUUCAUUUCCUGCUAUGAUUAACAACAAAACCAAGUAGAAAAAUAAGAGAGUGCAUUUAAAAAAAAAAAACAAAAAACAAAAACAAGAUACUCAAGUACUUUCUGAAGGAUUUUUCCUGUUCUCUUCGCUGAAUACAUACUCAUACGAAUUACUUAGUAAUCUAAGAAGCGGUUCUCCACCGAUGAGGAACUCAGUAAAUAUUUGUUGAAUGAAUGAACUAUCUUUGGAAAUGAAUCUACGCAUUAAUUUGUGCUUUUUUAAAAAAGUUUUUUUCAGGUAAGAGCAAUAGUAAACAUACUGAAGUUCUUUUUGUCCCUGUCACAAGCCUCUGUUGACAGUGAUUGUUACAAACACUACCCAUCACUGUCAAAUUAAUGUACCUUAAUCAACCUAGUAAGAAAAGUUUAUCAUGUUGGACAAGCUAUUCUAAUCUAAAUACUCACUGGGCAACAUGGUCUAGAAAAGGGGGCUGGGCCUUCCGGGUGUGUGUUUAUUUCACCUAUCAAUCAAUUUCCAUCUUUGAGCCUUCCCCUCCCCCACACACUUA
rnacentral:lncRNA from 1 species